rnacentral:rRNA from 1 species
AUUGAACGCUGGCGGCAUGCUUUACACAUGCAAGUCGAACGGCAGCGCGGGCUUCGGCCUGGCAGCGAGUGGCGAACGGGUGAGUAAUGCAUCGGAACGUGCCCAGUAGUGGGGGAUAACGUGGGGAAAGGCGGAUUAAUACCGCAUACGACCUGAGGGUGAAAGCGGGGGACCGACAGGCCUCGCGCUAUUAGAGGAGCCGAUGUCGGAUUAGCUAGUUGGUGGGGUAAAGGCUUACCAAGGCGACGAUCCGUAGCUGGUCUGAGAGGACGACCAGCCACACUGGAACUGAGACACGGCCCAGACUCCUACGGGAGGCAGCAGUGGGGAAUUUUGGACAAUGGGGGCAACCCUGAUCCAGCCAUGCCGCGUGUGGGAAGAAGGCCUUCGGGUUGUAAAGCGCUUUUGUUCGGGAAGAAAUCCUGUGGGCUAAUACCCCGCGGGGAUGACGGUACCGGAAGAAUAAGCACCGGCUAACUUCGUG